GGCCUUGUAGCUCAGUGUGGAUAGAGCAGCCCCGUAACGAAGGGCCGGUCGCGGGUUCAAAUCCCGCCAAGGAUUA
rnacentral:tRNA from 1 species